CUUGCUUCUGCUAUUGCCAUACCAUCUCUGCUGCUCUGACAUAAGUCUCUAUUAUGGCUCUGGUCCUAGCCUGGACCUAGAGCCUCAACUGUGGCCCUGAACAACUGAAAUAGAUCCUGGGCAAACAUGGAUUUUUUUAAAACAUACUAAUUAAAACCCAAAAACAUUCCUACCCCAAAGAUCUGAAGAAUCAGAGGGAUAGGUCACUUACAAUGUUCUCUGCUGAUAUUACAUAAUUGUGCCAGUACGGUUUUCCAGGGAGUAAAGUGCAAGCUUUCUCUUUCAGGAGAGAAAAUGUUAACUGCAACCACGUGCCAAACAUGAAACAAGGGCUAAUGGUAGAUACAUACAGACAAGGAAUAGAGUUGAACAAUAAUCUGGUAGCUGCUGGGACAGUCAGUCAUGUUCCAAGCACUGCUGUGUACUAUAAUUUCUACUAGGCUCUGGUGAAGUCCUGAUUCAAAUCCAGAAGAGAACGAGCCCAACAAAGAACCUGUAAGAACUCUGCAUUGCUUUGGGUUAAGGUAGACAAAGAAAAAUCACAUAUAUAAGGGCUUGGACAAAUUGUGAAUUACAUUUAGUGGAGUCUGCUCUAUCACAGACUGUGUGGCUGCAGCAUUGCCCAAGCCUGGAGGAGCACAGCUAGUGCUGACAGCAGGGUCACAAGGCGCUGAUAUUUAUUAUGUAGUGAAACCUGCCUUAAGUGAGCACAGGAGGAAGCAGUGGAAAAGGCUGGUUGACAGCAAUGACCAUAAGCUGGGACAGAAUUAUACUUAACCCAGGGAAUAUUUUAUAGAAGCCUGUUCAGACACUGCCAGGCAUAUUGGGUGUAGGCAGCAACACCGGUUUUGAGGGACAGGUCUAAGGGCUGUGAGAGCAGCCUAACCAGUUUGCACUAAUAUUUGGAUCCUGGCAUUCAUGCAAGUGGGGGAGGAAGAUAAAUGCACGGGAAAAAGGGCUGGAGGGAUAUAGCCAAGGGGCUUCAUAAGAUGGAUUUCCUGUACAUCCUGUUAGUAGCUUUUGUGCUAGGAGGCUAGAUAAGGGCUAGUAGGAGGAACUUAUUUUUUCUCCAAAUAAUGUACCAAACAAACCUCUGAACAAAACCUGGUGUCUGAUAUCGGUAGUGGAACUGUCUGGGUAUAGAAAUCUUAAUAGCCAUAAAAUUAUAAGGAAAAUUUGGCAAAGUGAUCACUGCCAUUUCUUGGUAGUGUGCUUCUUUCUGUUUUUUGAUACCUCAACACAGCAUGCUACCAUUUUCCAGCCUUACCAUUGCUCCUUUUGUCAAACACUGUUAAUCCAGAGGUGUUCCUGUCCAUGUCAGCAAUGCUACUCUUACCUGAACAGGGAAUGAGACACCCCAGAUUUCCUUUUUACCUCACUCUGCCCUUUUCUCUCUUGGUGAUGCUCAUACUGCCUGCCAGUCCUUUGGACAUUGAAUAUCGUCACUUAUGCCUUAUGCCCUUUUCACUAUUUAUAUGUCCACAAAUUGUUGGGGUUUUGUUGUUGUUGUUUGUUGUUUUUUUGUUGUUGUUGUUUUGUUUUGUUUAAAAAAGAAGGCCUACACAACAGUGUUUCUUUUAAUUACAUGAUGAAGAAAGGAAAAGGAAUUGCUUAGCUACCAUUUUAUGAUGUUUAUACAUUUUCCUUGCAAAAAAAAAGCAAAAAAAACAAACUAAAACAAACCAAAAAAAAGCAACCCACAGUUGUCCUGUGAGCAUCACAGCUAGUAGAGCCUGUUUUCCUGCAGAUUUGUAUCCUGUUUCCUUCGCUUGCUCCCAUCACAAUAGUUCUGUCUCCCGCUGUAAACCCUCUGACAUCUGUCAAGCAAGAAAUAACACAUACCCUGGCUAAUCUGGAGCCAUGCAUAUGCAGAUGGGGCAGCUGGCUACUACCAAGCCACAUAACAAAUCACAUCUGAGUUCUUCCAGCCCUCUUUUUCAAUGGGUUUUUCAUGCUGGGUCUCUCUCCACUUCCCAGCUGCAGACUUCAAAAAUGCACUUAAUUAUUCUUAAGGCUUUUACUCUACUUUCAGAUUUGAGUUAAACUGCUCAACAGGCUAAAAAAUUAUUAAGAAGACUGACUGACAGACAAAUGGAGGGCCAAAAGCACAGAAGCCUCAUUUGCUUAGGAAACCAGCCUGAAAUAUUUCAUUAAAAUGUUCUAUUCAAGCCUAAUACAAUAUUUUGCUUUACUGUUUUGAGGCGCACACACACAAAAAAGAUAUGACAUUCAAAAUCCCAAAUCAGCUAUGGAGGAUGUCAUCUGUGCCCUUUUACCCAAAAGAACAGUCACCAGAUUAACCUUCCAGUAGGUUGGAGAUGCAGUGCUUUCCCCUGUACCAGGAACUGAACCUCAGCCUCUCCAGAGAACGUCAGCUCUUUUAGGCAGGGAUUCCCCCAGUUUGCCACAUUGGUGCUUUCACCCUGAAAUGACUGAGGGGACAUUGACCGAGGCAAGAACUGCUUCUUGGGUGAUGAUUCCUAUAACCAGAUCAGCAAAGCAUAGCCAGUAUCCAUAUCUGUUUCCAUUUUUGAUGCAAAAAAAAUGGGCAGCACUGGGCAGGGAAGUGUAGUCCAUGUCACAUACAUCGUUUGAGAGUGAAAGCCCACUUUCCUCCUUUGCCUGUUAGGACUUGGAAGUAAAAUCCCAGACAAGUGCCUAACUAUUCAAGUUGUUCCAUCCUUUAUACUGGGUCCCACAGCAUAUUUUUUCCUUUCUUUUUAGCCUGGUGAUUGAGCCAACUAUGGAGCUACAAGUUUUUGAUUGCUUUCUUGCUACGUCUUAAUGGGUAAUACAGUACUUCAUAUAAAGUCCAACAUAUUCAGCUGAGAUGAUUCCUCCAAUAAAUAUCUAGAGAACAUAUGAAGCCUGCAAGUAGAUUUUCUUUCAGAGUUGUUGAAAACAAUUUCACAGGAUCAACAAGAAGUUCAUUUCCGGAAGAAGUAAAUAAAUAAAUGAAUAAAGAUUAUCUCUUAGAGGCGUCAAGUAUAUGCCUUACAUCAUUAAACUUGUUUUUAUUUUCCCAAGGACACUGGAAUUAUUCAACAUCUUGAAACUCAGUUUUCACUAGCUUUCCCCUCAGAAACAUCUAUCAAUUUUAACUGAAACCUCAAAAAAUACAGUGUCUCUCUGGCAUGGAAAGUUCUACUGAUGUAAUGUUUGGCUGAGUUGCUUAGAUUAACCAGCUAGCACAAUACUGAGGUAUCAUACACAGAACAAUCAGCUUUACAUGCAUCCAGGCUGUUGGUAAAGCAAAAGCUCACUUGAAUCUUACAAUGUCUUUUGCAGAAAUUGAGGCUUAUUUGAUUUCCUACACAAAAUUCAUCCUGCCAGGAAAUAGUUCUCAGUUUUCAUACUGAAUAUGAAAAUUAUGGUCUCUGGGUGUCCAGGUUCCCUAACCCAAAUAUAAUAUCAAAAGGGAAAAAAAAAGACAAAAAUACAAUCAGAACUAAUAGUAGUUCUAUACUGCAAUUCCAUUAUAUCAAUGCAGAUAGGAUUUAAAACAUUAAGUUAAAAAUUGAUAGAAUCUGAAAAAAAAACAUCAUUGUUGUACUUAAGGUCAUUAAUCAUACACUUAAAAGUGCUUUGGCAUUCUUUUGCUACUUCUUUUUCCUAUC
ensembl:lncRNA